UAUAUACUGAGAUGACAUUGCAUGUUUUGAAGAUACCUAUAAAAUUCACAUAUUUUAUAUUUAUAUUUAUAAUUAUGAAAUAAUUAUAAUUAGAUUUAUGAAAAAAAUAAAUAUAAAAUAAAAAUUAUAUUUUAUAUUUUAUAUUUAUAUCAUAUCAUAUUAUGAGAUAUUUCAGAAGUAUUUUGAUUUAAAAGCAUACACGAUACACCUAUAUCCUUUACCAAAACUGCAUCUGGACAUCCAUUACUUUUAUUACUCCUAUAGAAAAAGAUAUGUAAAUAAUUUUUUUAUUAUUUAAUGAAUAUAAUAUAUGUAUAUAUGUUUAAUAUAUAACAAAAAAAAUCAUUAUUUAAGAAUAAAAAUUUUCAACAAAAUUAUGAGAUAUUUAUAAGUUUAAUAAAAUAAAAACUGUAUUAAUAAAAAAAAUGUUGAAUAAUAAUAUAAUAAAAAUAUUAACCUAUAAUAAGGAAACUGACAGCUAUCAUGAAUCGUAGAAUUACUCAUUUCAUCAGAAAUUGUAUUUUCUGUUACUGAAUGAUUAUGUGAAUCUUUGUUCAUACUGUUAAUGGAGUUGUAAUUCGAUUCAAUAAUCAAAGCAUUUUGUUUAAUAGCAUGUCUUUUUGAUAUUGUGGAAAUAAAACUCUUAGAAGA